CCUACGGGUGACAGCAGUCGAGAAUCAUUCACAAUGGGGGAAACCCUGAUGGUGCGACGCCGCGUGGGGGCAUGAAGGUCUUCGGAUUGUAAACCCCUGUCAUGUGGGAGCAAAUUAAAAAGAUAGUACCACAAGAGGAAGAGACGGCUAACUCUGUGCCAGCAGCCGCGGUAAUACAGAGGUCUCAAGCGUUGUUCGGAAUCACUGGGCGUAAGGCGUGCGUAGGCUGUUUCGUAAGUCGUGUGUGAAAGGCGCGGGCUCAACCCGCGGACGGCACAUGAUACUGCGAGACUAGAGUAAUGGAGGGGGAACCGGAAUUCUCGGGGUAGCAGUGAAAUGCGUAGAUAUCGAGAGGAACACUCGUGGCGAAGGCGGGUUCCUGGACAUUAACUGACGCUGAGGCACGAAGGCCAGGGGAGCGAAAGGGAUUAGAUACCCUAGUAGUC
rnacentral:rRNA from 1 species